CACAAAUCUGUAAAAUCAUUUCACAAAACCAAAAAUCAGACACAACAACACAAACCAAAACUUAUUCUGAUUUCCUGCUAAACAUCACUUACAGCACCAUAGCAGCCACAACCAACAAACCAAUUCAAAAAGCUGCAGCAUCAAUUAAUUGAACAAUGAGCCAUUGAACUCAUCUGCUUCAUCACCUCACCUGCAAUGAACCAGACCUGCAGAAGUAAAACGAUUGCAACUCAGCUCCAACAACAAAAUGAAAUCGAAGUAUUAACAUCAGAUCAAGAUAUUCAUCAACAACACUAAAUUUCGAAUACAGAAGAAGAAGAAAGGUGGGACCACGAAGACUUACCCGAGUUACUGAACCACCGCCGGAAAAGGAAGUCUCGCCGGACAAGCUCCGACCGUAUUCCUUUGCCGGGAAGGAAUCGAUAUAAUAGCUACUUCAAUUACAAUAGGAGUUGGAAGCAAAGGUUUCUUCACUUAGGGCAGAACAAAGGCAACUCCCAAGGUGAAAAUGAGCAAUCAACUUUGAAGACCUAGAAAGCUAACUCAAGGAAGAUAAUAGUAUAGUAAAAAAUAAUUGAUGUUUACCAUGCAUGCAUCUUGUAUAAAUUAUAAGCACUUUUAGUAUAGAUCGACUAGUAUAAAUUUCAUGCUUUUGCAUGAAUCUAGGGCAAAGUAAGGUAGAAAAUAGACAUGGAAAUUGUCACGUGGUGUUAGAACAUUAGUUUUCUUAAAUAUGGUGUGUUUUGUAUUUUAAGAGCCUUUCAAACUUGAGAGUAUACAACUUUUGUUUGAUUU